UACCUACGGGAGGCAGCAGUGGGGAAUAUUGCACAAUGGGGGGAACCCUGAUGCAGCGACGCCGCGUGAGUGAAGAAGUAUCUCGGUACGUAAAGCUCUAUCAGCAGGGAAGAAAAUGACGGUACCUGACUAAGAAGCCCCGGCUAACUACGUGCCAGCAGCCGCGGUAAUACGUAGGGGGCAAGCGUUAUCCGGAUUUACUGGGUGUAAAGGGAGCGUAGACGGCAGUGCAAGUCUGAAGUGAAAGGCAAGGGCUCAACCCUUGGACUGCUUUGGAAACUGUGCUGCUGGAGUGUCGGAGAGGC
rnacentral:rRNA from 1 species